GGAGGAGGGAGGAGGAGAACUUGAUAAAAUAUUCAAGGGACUGCCGCAUGGCUGAUGACUCAAACAUUUCCUUCUUAAAUGGAUGUGUCUAUAGACAGAACAUUUAUAUAACCAGCCAUUCCACACAUACAACCAACAACAGGAAGCAAUAUUCUAUUCGUGACGACCCCGUAUUGCCAACGGCAAGCCAAGUGUCCAAUUAUUCAUACAGUACCAAUUUCCACGGAAUCCAUUAAACUUAAAUGAUUUACAGCUGCAAUGUAAUCGAAACAAUUGUCAUCUACAUUAAGCAGUGAACGACAGCACACCUGACCUUUGAUUCAAGAUGUAUCUUUUGAUGACUGCACAUUGCAGAAUGCUGAGUGAAGGAACAACCACAAUGAGGGCAAUCACAUGGUCUCUAUUCUCUGUGUAGUUCUCUGCUGUGGUGACGAACGUGCGUCAUUGUGCAAGAAUCAUUUGCUGCAGACAUCACACAAAAUGUCAUUUAAUCUGACUAAUUACAUCCACAAACAUUCAACCCAGUACUCAAGGAAUGAAUCCAAUCUAAGAGUAAAACAUACAGAAGAGACCAUAUGUGCAUCCUUUUCAAAUAUAGCAGGCAUAUACACUGCUGUCAGAGAAUUGAUAUAAUCUUUGUAAAGAGUAUAAAGCACAAAUUAAAUUUACAGAAAGAAGAAAACUUAAAAUUCAAAGUUAAUAUUGGUCUUCUGGGCUGUUAUACCACUUAGGCUUCUAGGAUUCUACUUUUGCAAUGUAUAUGCUUGAUUAUAUGAACGGGUUCUAUACGCUUGCUAUGUAUUUUUCAUUAUCAUACCUGACACCGGAAACGCUAGACUGACAGUGCAAUUUUCAGUGUUUCGUGACAAAACUGAGUUUUAAUCCAUGGUAAAAAGAAAUGUUGUAGUUUAUAAUUUAAAUUCACGCGACAUCAAUACAACCAAUGGCAUGCUCCUAUCUACAGACCUCUAAUUCACACGCCAUCUUGAAAUUCAGAAUCAUUACGACAUCUAUUUAAUAAGCGUAUCAAUAAAAGUCUAAGUAUACCUAUGCAAAAGUGUCCUACUUAUCCCUUGAAAAAAUCAUUGUAGAUAAUUUAAUAAUUCUUAUGUUAGAAAAAUCCCUGAAUCAUGUAGGUCGUGCUUAAAAAAAUUUACACUUUUCAACUAUAGGGAAUAGGAGUUCAAUGUUUUGCAUGAGUUUCUGUAAACAUUUAAAUAACAAGGAGAAAGCAAGAAUGGCAAAUGCCGAAAACAUUUAAAAUGAAUAUAAUAUUCUAGUCUACCGCACUCGUGAACCAAAAUUUGCCCCCUCUGAAAUACUAAUAUUCCGAGGUCGUACACUGUCGAGAAAGUGAGGUUAUGCACUUCGAUGCAGGUUAUGUUUACAGUUAUGAAUAAAUAUAUGAUUCACAGCCAACAAGCUCUUUUUAAAGUUAAUAAAACGUGUAACUAAUAACACGGUAAUAACUAAUAUGCAAAUGAGCUAUAUAUACAGGAUGUAAAAAAAUUGCCCUUGAUCUAGAUGAUUGCUGCUAACUGUAAAAAUGAUGUCCUUCAUUCAUAUAAAUUUCAUACGUGUUUUGCAAUAAAGUAACUUAGUAAUGUGGUCCUAGAAACUACACUUUUCAUACUUCCACUGGAUCAUGACGUAUGGUAGAACAGUAUGACACAAUUCUUCUGAGGUUGGUAAAUUAUUCCUUCCAUAUAAGAAUAUUACUGGAAUCAUGGCAGUUGGACAGAGAAGAGAAUAAUACAGAAACCACAAGACACAAGUGUGAUCUUCACAGAACAAUUCCUAAUUUUAUAGCCUAUCAAAAAGGAGUCUACUGCACUGAAAUAAAACUACAUAACAAUGUGAUCAUCAAAAUUAAAAGCUUAUCUACCAGCAGUAAACAAUUUAAAAGAACUGACUGAUUAAUUCUGUGUGUAAAUUUUGAGUUUAGUUCACUGUUUAUAUGCAUGUUUUACCAAGUAUAUAAUAUACACUUAUAGACCUUUAUUUAUGAUUAUAAACGUCUACAAGUGUAAUUUGUAUGCAAGUAACCUAAAUAUGAUAUUAUUGUACAGCGGAUUCUGUUUAAUUGGGACACAUAGGGACAAGAACGCUUUGGCCCAAUUAAGCGGUUGCCACAAUUAUGCGAAGUUCCAUGUAAAGAGUUAAAAAUGUUUGUUCUUUAAGAUUUGUCCCAAAUAAACGGUUGCCCCGAUUAACCGGAAUCUACUGUAUAUGGAUAAUGAUACUGUUUAGUUAACAAACAUGUUUUGAAUGUAGAAAAUCUCAGCUGUCUCUAAAUAUAAUACAAAUUUGAUGAAAAGCUGUUAAUAAUAUAAUGUAUGAUAUGCAGUAUUGUGUGUUACAGUGUAUUUUGUUCUUCAGAUAUGUUUUGUAGCUGUAUUGUACUUGUAGGUGUUUUCUGAAUGUGGUAUGUUUUUUCUGACUUGUCCUACACCCUAUUUUUUAGGUUAUAUAGGAUGAUUCUAAAUCUAUCUAUCAAUAUAUCUAUCUUUCUGUUUUUGGUGAUGUACUAAUGAGAUGCUGUUAUUGAGACAUGUACCAUGCAGUUUGAAACACAGAUGUUUUACCUAAACUGAAGCAAGUAGUACAGAAUUUAUUUAUACUUCAUAGACCUUUCCUAGGACAAAGAUAUAGAAGAUAUCAUAUACAGGAAUAAAUGU